AACGAACGCUGGCGGCAGGCCUAACACAUGCAAGUCGAGCGAGAUCUUCGGGUCUAGCGGCGGACGGGUGAGUAACGCGUUGGAAUAUGCCCUUCUCUGCGGAAUAGCCUCGGGAAACUGAGCGUAAUACCGCAUACGCCCUUUGGGGGAAAGAUUUAUCGGAGAAGGAUUAGCCCGCGUUGGAUUAGGUAGUUGGUGGGGUAACGGCCUACCAAGCCGACGAUCCAUAGCUGGUUUGAGAGGAUGAUCAGCCACACUGGGACUGAGACACGGCCCAGACUCCUACGGGAGGCAGCAGUGGGGAAUCUUAGACAAUGGGGGCAACCCUGAUCUAGCCAUGCCGCGUGAGUGAUGAAGGCCUUAGGGUUGUAAAGCUCUUUCAGCUGGGAAGAUAAUGACGGUACCAGCAGAAGAAGCCCCGGCUAACUCCGUG
rnacentral:rRNA from 1 species